rnacentral:rRNA from 1 species
AUUGGUGCUUGCAUCAUGAUUUACAUUUGAGUGAGUGGCGAACUGGUGAGUAACACGUGGGAAACCUGCCCAGAAGCGGGGGAUAACACCUGGAAACAGAUGCUAAUACCGCAUAACAACUUGGACCGCAUGGUCCGAGCUUGAAAGAUGGCUUCGGCUAUCACUUUUGGAUGGUCCCGCGGCGUAUUAGCUAGAUGGUGGGGUAACGGCUCACCAUGGCAAUGAUACGUAGCCGACCUGAGAGGGUAAUCGGCCACAUUGGGACUGAGACACGGCCCAAACUCCUACGGGAGGCAGCAGUAGGGAAUCUUCCACAAUGGACGAAAGUCUGAUGGAGCAACGCCGCGUGAGUGAAGAAGGGUUUCGGCUCGUAAAACUCUGUUGUUAAAGAAGAACAUAUCUGAGAGUAACUGUUCAGGUAUUGACGGUAUUUAACCAGAAAGCCACGGCUAACUACGUGCCAGCAGCCGCGGUAAUACGUAGGUGGCAAGCGUUGUCCGGAUUUAUUGGGCGUAAAGCGAGCGCAGGCGGUUUUUUAAGUCUGAUGUGAAAGCCUUCGGCUCAACCGAAGAAGUGCAUCGGAAACUGGGAAACUUGAGUGCAGAAGAGGACAGUGGAACUCCAUGUGUAGCGGUGAAAUGCGUAGAUAUAUGGAAGAACACCAGUGGCGAAGGCGGCUGUCUGGUCUGUAACUGACGCUGAGGCUCGAAAGUAUGGGUAGCAAACAGGAUUAGAUACCCUGGUAGUCCA